rnacentral:lncRNA from 1 species
UGUAAAGUCAUAAUAUUCCAAGUUUUGGACCUAACUGAUGCAUAAAUCAAUGGCCAAAAUGUGAAACGACGUGUCUCCAUUGCGGUGUUUCAACAUUUCAGCUCUUACCACACUUCUACAAAGCAGAAACAAGCCAAUUGAGUAAACAGCUUUAAAUCUUGAAGGAGUAUUCUGCUGAACCAGGAGAGUAAUGAAGGAAGCUCUCAAGAUAUUAUGAUGACUGGAUUUUCGAAAAUAAAAUAAAGUAUGACAAGAAGUCUGCACAUCGCAAACGAAGAUACCUAGGUACGCUACUUAGAGCAGUCGGCCUAUGAUGCUUCACUACAGCAGAACUUUUCUGCUUUUUAAGCAAUUUUAAACUUUAAAUGUCAGGUUUUGAGUGAAAAUAAAAUAAGUUGACUACAGCAUCUUUCAUGCUUCUCAAUUUCUUAAUUAGCGCUAGACGAUUACAUGUUAUCAAUACUUACCUUGAUAUUUGACGAUGGUGAACUCAAUCGAAAAGUUUAGACUUGUCUUAUGCACUUGAACUUCUCGUUUCAAAUUUCAUAGCUAAAAAAUCCAGGAAACAAAAUGAUCAAUUCCUUUAACUUUCGCUUCUUCCUGCUUUUUUUUUACGAUUCCCAUGCCUUACACAAGAUUCUACCUCAAAUCAACAAAAAACUUCCAAGUCAAUGAUGCUCUUUUAUAAGCACGAGUUAUCACUAGACACAAUGUUCAACGAAUAAGUAACAAAGAAAUUCCUGCAAAAUUAUUACAAAUUAAAUUCCAUAGAACCCCAAAAAUUCAAAAUUUGAAGUAAACAAUACAUUUGGACUGAAUUAGAUAUAAUUUCAGCAGAGUACUUAAUUGAUUUCAGUGUAUAUGCUAUUUCAUAUAUGGUGAACCUGAUUCUGUUUGGCAGUUGAAAGUUUUGUUUACAAAGCUGAGUUUUCGAAAAAAGCCCUCAAAGUUUAUUACUUGUCACAUGUCAUUCAAGUUAUCUUAAUUUCUUCAAGUUUCUUUAAUUGCCAAUGCUGUGCCCACCAACUUUUGAAAGAUAAAUGUUUUCUAACGAUUAUUACCCACACCAGGCUGUAUUUGAUACUAUAUUUGCUGAAGUUACUGUUGCUACAAAAGAUGCAAUCCACCGCUGAAAUAAUCAAGAAGUUGGGUCAUGAAAUUGAAGAGAUCAGAGUUCGGGCACUGAACAAUAUUCUCAUGAAAUUGAACUGUCAUGUCCUGACAGUUGAGGAUUUGACCGAAAAUCAUGAAUUGUUCAUAAAACUCAUCAAUUGGUUCAAGUUUCCAGUAUGUCCGAAAAGGAAAAAGUAUUGGAAUUUAUAUUAACUCUAGCAAAGGUAAUCAGAAUAUUCUGCUUUAAUACAAUGGGCUGUUGCAACUUUUGCUAGAGCAAAAUAAGAGUUGUUUCCUAUAGAUAAUGCCUCAAAAAUCACGAUGAGCGCAUCGGCAAAGUCUGAAAUGCACUCAUAACUUCACAAUCUGCGUAAGAAAUUUGCGUUUUUUUGAGCUUCCUGCUUCAAAAACGAUACUACGGCACAGGUGAACAUUUUUUUAGAAGAGUCGCUCCAUCAUCGGCAAUAUUCAUCAUGGCCGACGCUUGCGCAGUUCCGCGCGUGAUUCGAGGGGAGUUCAAGGUCAAUCAAGGCUGGCGAGGAAAAUAUGAACGUAAACACGCCAAUUGUUAUCUGGUCUAAUCCUGUUCAGGUGUUAUCUCGUCCCAUCACAGGUGUUCUGGCGGAUUGUCGUCGGCCAUGAUGAGUAUUGCCGACGAUAGAACGACUCUCUAACAAAUGUUCACCUGUGCUUUAGUAUCGUUUUUGAAGCGGGAAGCUCAAAAAACCGCAAAUUUCUUACGCAGAUUGUGAAAUUAUGAGUGCAUUUCAGACUUUGCUGAUGUGCUCAUUGUGAUUUUUGAGGCAUAAUCUGUAAGGAACAACUCUUAUUUUUGCUCUAGCAAAAGUUUGCAACAGGCCCAUUGUCAGUUAUUCGUAGGAUCAUAUCAAUAUGCUCUGGCUUAAUCGGAUUGAUUUUAGCAGAAGGAAUCAAAGCGAUUACAGUGUUGUAAAAAUCUUCAUCCUCUCAUAGAAAAUAACUCCCAAAAGCUUCCAAGAAUGCUUUAAUUUUUUCCACCAAUAGAUCGUCAAUUUUGAAAGAAGACUAUUCAGUAAGGUCAUCAAGAACAUGCAUUCAAAUUUUUAAAAAGCAAAAAAAAAUCGCACAAUUUUGAAAACAUUGUAUUCGCGUGGGUUACUUGCUGUAUUCGAUCCAAUUUUACCUCAUGCGUUUUAGUUUGAUUCAAUCAACACAGAUAAAAAACAAACUAGAAGACAUGUUCGGAAAAUUCAGAUGUUAGUCAUUUUGAAUGA